rnacentral:rRNA from 1 species
UCAAUAAGCGGAGGAAAAGAAACUAACAAGGAUUCCCCUAGUAACUGCGAGUGAAGCGGGAAAAGCUCAAAUUUAAAAUCUGGCGGUCUCUGGCCGUCCGAGUUGUAAUCUAGAGAAGUAAUGCCCGUGCUGGACCGUGUAUAAGUCUCCUGGGAUGGGGCGUCAUAGAGGGUGAGAAUCCCGUCUUUGACACGGACUACCAGUGCAUUGUGGUAUGCUCUCAAAGAGUCGAGUUGUUUGGGAAUGCAGCUCAAAAUGGGUGGUAAAUUCCAUCUAAAGCUAAAUAUUGGCGAGAGACCGAUAGCGAACAAGUACCGUGAGGGAAAGAUGAAAAGAACUUUGGAAAGAGAGUUAAACAGUACGUGAAAUUGCUGAAAGGGAAACGCUUGAAGUCAGUCGCGUUGGCCAGGGAUCAGCCUUGCUUUUGCAUGGUGUACUUUCUGGUUGACGGGUCAGCAUCAAUUUUGACCGCUGGAAAAAGACCUGGGGAAUGUGGCAGCUUCGGCUGUGUUAUAGCCCCUAGUCGCAUACAGUGGUUGGGAUUGAGGAACUCAGCACGCCGCAAGGCCGGGUUUCGACCACGUUCGUGCUUAGGAUGCUGGCAUAAUGGCUUUAAGCGACCCGUCUUGAAACACGGACCAAGGAGUCUAACAUGCCUGCGAGUAUUUGGGUGGAAAACCCAAGUGCGUAAUGAAAGUGAAAGUUGAGAUCCCUGUCGUGGGGAGCAUCGACGCCCGGACCAGAACUUUUGGGACGGAUCCGCGGUGGAGCAUGUAUGUUGGGACCCGAAAGAUGGUGAACUAUGCCUGAAUAGGGUGAAGCCAGAGGAAACUCUGGUGGAGGCUCGUAGCGAUUCUGACGUGCAAAUCGAUCGUCAAAUUUGGGUAUAGGGGCGAAAGACUAAUCGAACAUCUAGUA